UACGAAGGGGGCUAGCGUUGUUCGGAAUUACUGGGCGUAAAGCGCGCGCAGGCGGCCAUUCAAGUCAGGGGUGAAAGCCCAGAGCUCAACUCUGGAACUGCCCUUGAAACUGUAUGGCUUGAGUAUGAGAGAGGUGAGUGGAAUUCCCAGUGUAGAGGUGAAAUUCGUAGAUAUUGGGAAGAACACCGGUGGCGAAGGCGGCUUACUGGCUCAUUACUGACGCUCAGGCGCGACAGCGUGGGGAGCAAACAGG
rnacentral:rRNA from 1 species